rnacentral:tRNA from 1 species
GGGGAAUUAGCUCAAAUGGUAGAGCGCUCCCUUAGCAUGCAAGAGGUAGCGGGAUCGAUACCCACAUUCUCCA